rnacentral:rRNA from 1 species
GACGAACGCUGGCGGCGUGCCUAACACAUGCAAGUCGAGCGGGGUUUUCUUUAGCACUGAGUACUCUUAAACGUUGGUAGUAGGGCAGCGUUUAUGCAGAAACGACCUUAAAAAUCAGAUGGAGGUUUCUGCAUUACGCGUUAAACAGUGCCAACACAGGAUAUGAGAGUAUUGAGUGCUAAAAGAAAACCUAGCGGCGGACGGGUGAGUAACGCGUGACCAACCUGCCUUGCACAGGGGGGAUAACAACCGGAAACGGUUGCUAAUACCGCAUGAGACCCCACUAUCGCAUGAUAGAGAGGUUAAAGGGACUACCGGUGCAAGAUGGGCUCGCGUCCCAUUAGUUAGUUGGUAGGGUAACGGCCUACCAAGGCGACGAUGGGUAGCCGACCUGAGAGGGUGAUCGGCCACACUGGGACUGAGACACGGCCCAGACUCCUACGG